UGGGGAAUAUUGCACAAUGGGCGCAAGCCUGAUGCAGACAUGCCGCGUGUAUGAAGAAGGCCUUCGGGUUGUAAAGUACUUUCAGCGAGGAGGAAGGCGUUGUGGUUAAUAACCGCAGCGAUAGACGUUACUCGCAGCAGAAGCACCGGCUAACUCCGUGCCAGCCGCCGCGGUAAUACGGAGGGUGCAAGCGUUAAGCGGAAUUACUGGGUGUAAAGCGCACGCAGGCGGUCUGUCAAGUCGGAUGUGAAAUCCCCGGGCUCAACCUGGGAACUGCAUCCGAAACUGGCAGGCUAGAGUCUUGUAGAGGGGGGUAGAAUUCCAGGUGUAGCGGUGAAAUGCGUAGAGAUCUGGAGGAAUACCGGUGGCGAAGGCGGCCCCCUGGACAAAGACUGACGCUCAGGUGCGAAAGCGUGGGGAGCAAACA
rnacentral:rRNA from 1 species